GGUUCCAGGUGUGAAACUAGGAUGAUGGGGCGGGGAAUCCCUCUCCUUCAUGCAGAUUCAAUACGUCUCACACACUCGUCGGAUACACAGGACCCGGAGCUCAACCUUACACAGUGAACCUCGUCAGCCAGAGAUUUCCAAUAAGUUAGAUUCAUCAGACAAUUAGAACAGGAUGAGAAGUAUGGAGAGAGAACUCGUAAAACUUGAGAGUAUGGUUCCUGCUCUCAAGAAUAAAGAAAAUGAAAUGGAUGAGAUUCUGGAGGGAACAGCAGUAUAUAUUUCCCAACUACAGAGACAGCUAGCGGCAAAACUACGAACUCAUGGAUCUCGUCACACUCACCUACUUGGUAGAAUCAACACAAACACUGCGUCAGCUGAUGAACUUAUAAAAUCUAUCAGCAUGAGCCUAGCAAGCAAAACGCUCAAUCCAAAAUAAUGUGGAAAAAAAACUUUUUCAAGCUAUAUGAUAAAUUCUCAGUAUUAUGAAUAAAAAAUAUAAUAUCUUUGUUAUGCAAAGAAAGUAAUCACUCA